CGGUUGAUCCCGCCGGACCUGACUGCUAUCGGAAUGAUACUAAGCCAUGCGAGUCAUUGUAGCAAUACAAGGCAGACGGCUCAGUAACGCGUAGUCAAUCUACCCUAUGGACGGGAAUAACCUCGGGAAACUGAGAAUAAUGCCCGAUAGAACAUUAUGCCUGGAAUGGUUUAUGUUUCAAAUGAUUUAUCGCCAUAGGAUGGGACUGCGGCCUAUCAGUUUGUUGGUGAGGUAAUGGCCCACCAAGACUAUUACAGGUACGGGCUCUGAGAGGAGUGGCCCGGAGAUGGGUACUGAGACACGGACCCAGGCCCUAUGGGGCGCAGCAGGCGAGAAAACUUUGCAAUGUGCGAAAGCACGACAAGGUUAAUCCGAGUGGUUUCUGCUAAAGAAACCUUUUGUCAGUCCUAGAAACACUAACGAAUAAGGGGUGGGCAAGUUCUGGUGUCAGCCGCCGCGGUAAAACCAGCACCUCAAGUGGUCAGGAUGAUUAUUGGGCCUAAAGCAUCCGUAGCUCGUUUUGUAAGUUUUCGGUUAAAUCCAUGCGCUUAACGUAUGGGCUGCCGGGAAUACUGCAUAACUAGGAAGUGGGAGAGGUAGACGGUACUCGGUAGGAAGGGGUAAAAUCCUUUGAUCUAUUGAUGACCACCUGUGGCGAAGGCGGUCUACCAGAACACGUUCGACGGUGAGGGAUGAAAGCUGGGGGAGCAAACCGGAUUAGAUACCCGGGUAGUCUCAGCUGUAAACUAUGCAAACUCAGUGAUGCAUUGGCUUGUGGCCAAUGCAGUGCUGCAGGGAAGCCGUUAAGUUUGCCGCCUGGGAAGUACGUACGCAAGUAUGAAACUUAAAGGAAUUGGCGGGGGAGCACCACAAGGGGUGAAGCCUGCGGUNCAAUUGGAGUCACGCCNGAAA
rnacentral:rRNA from 1 species